rnacentral:rRNA from 1 species
AGAGCGAACGCUGGCGGCAGGCCUAACACAUGCAAGUCGAGCGCGUGUAGCAAUACACGAGCGGCAGACGGGAGAGUAACACGUGGGAACGCGCCCUUCGGUUCGGAAUAACUCAGGGAAACUUGAGCUAAUACCGGAUACGCCCUUACGGGGAAAGAUUUAUUGCCGAAGGAACGGCCCGCGUCCGAUUAGCUAGUUGGUGAGGUAACGGCUCACCAAGGCGACGAUCGGUAGCUGGUCUGAGAGGAUGACCAGCCUCACUGGGACUGAGACACGGCCCAGACUCCUACGGGAGGCAGCAGUGGGGAAUAUUGGACAAUGGGCGCAAGCCUGAUCCAGCCAUGCCGCGUGGAUGAUGAAGGCCUUAGGGUUGUAAAGUCCUUUUAACGGGGAAGAUAAUGACGGUACCGUAGAAUAAGCCCCGGCUAACUUCGCGCCAGCAGCCGC